GACGAACGCUGGCGGCGUGCUUAACACAUGCAAGUCGAACGGAAAGGCCCUGCUUUUGUGGGGUGCUCGAGUGGCGAACGGGUGAGUAACACGUGAGUAACCUGCCCUUGACUUUGGGAUAACUUCAGGAAACUGGGGCUAAUACCGGAUAGGAGCUCCUGCUGCAUGGUGGGGGUUGGAAAGUUUCGGCGGUUGGGGAUGGACUCGCGGCUUCUCAGCUUGUUUGUGGGGUAGUGGCUGACCAAGGCUUUGACGGGUAGCCGGCCUGAGAGGGUGACCGGCCACAUUGGGCCUGAGAUACGGCCCAGACUCCUACGGGAGGCAGCAGUGGGGAAUAUUGCACAAUGGGCGGAAGCCUGAUGCAGCAACGCCGCGUGCGGGAUGACGGCCUUCGGGUUGUAAACCGCUUUCGCCUGUGACGAAGCGUGAGUGACGGUAAUGGGUAAAGAAGCACCGGCUAACUACGUG
rnacentral:rRNA from 1 species